GCUGCUGUUCGAUGGGGCCCACUGCAUCCUCCAGGGGACUUCGGCUGCCUCCACCAGGGGCGCUACUUCCAGGUGCACUGGAUGUGGCCCCAGUGCCUCCCAGUACAGACCAGUUCCAGCCCUAGCUCCUUCUAGGCUCCCCAUGUUGAUCCUGGGCCCCUUUAGUGUGCUCCCCACAGUGUUCCCAGGCCCUCCCAGUACAUCCCAGUUCUCCACCAGUCCUUUCCAGUUCCCUCCCAAGUGCUCACCAGUCCCCAGUCCCUCGCAGUACACCCCAGCAUCCCCCAUGUCACCAUUUCUCCCCAGUGUUCUCUCCACUUCCCCCAGACACGUCCCUCAGUGCGUCCCCCUUUACUCCAGCAUCUCUCCUCAUGGUGAGAGACCCCAGGAUCUCUCAUCCCCUCCAGUCUCCCUCGAUAUUCCCUGUAUUAUCCAGAGUCCCUCCAAGGGUAUUUGAGUCCUCCCCCACUUUCCCCCACAGUGUUCCAAAUCCUUCCCAAUUUGUCUUUGUUCCCCCACAGUGCCUCCCAAUGCAUCCCAAUCACUUAGUGGGGGAACUGAGUGUCCUUCCAGUGUCUCCCAGCAUGUUCCAAUGUCCCCCUGUGUCUCCACCAGUGUUUCCAGUGUCCCCCAGCAGGUCCCAAUCCCCCCAGUGUGUCCCCCUCCAUGGGGGACAUGGGGCUAUGUGUGGACACGGGCACACACUGGGGACAUACUGGUGGUCCCCAUGGGCACUCACUGGGGAUAUGGAAACACAUAGGUGAUGUGGGAGACAUGGGCCCCCUUCCCCCCUCCCACGACACCUCACAGCAUCAUCAUCCCCAUUUUUUGGCCAUUUUAGGCCAUUUUUCCCUACUCCCCACAUUUUAUCCAAGGAAAACAAAUCGCUGAGACCAUCCUGACCCCUGACUGUUCCCAGGCCUGCACCUGCUGAGUGCCUGGGGGCCCCCAGUGCCAUCCCUUCACUUGUCCCUUUGGCCACACCUGGGGCCUCUGUGACGGCACCAGCACCUGCACCUGCAUUGUACGCCCAGGUUGCUGCACUGUAUCCCCUGCCACCCGUUUCGUCACCUUUGACGGUGUCACCAGGGCCAUCCUGGCCACUGGCAUCUAUGUGGUGGCCAGCACGUGUGACCUCUGGGACCCUGCAUGGCUCCAGCUCCUGGGGGACGUCAGGGACAUUGGGGACUAUCCGGCAGUGGUGACACUUCACCUUUUCAGCUCCCACAGGCUCAUCACCAUGCAGAGGGACAGGAAGGCCUGACUCAAUGGGGUCCCCACACCCCUGCCCAUGGAGCUCCCGGGACCAUUGACCAUCACGGAGACACACAUGACCCUCUGGAUCAGCUGAACCCCGGGAUUUCUGGUGUGAUAAUGGAACUGGCUCCGCAGGGGUGACAGUGGAGGUGCCCAGGGAAGCGCGGGUGAUGCUCUGUGGCCUCUGCAGCGACUACGACGGUGCCACCAGCAAUGACCUGCAAGCACCUGACAUGCAGGUGCUGGCCGAGGCCUGGCAGGCACCUGACUUCAGCCAGUGAUGUGGAAAAUUGACAUUUCAUCUGGGUGGCCGCGCCUCACCGCUGACGUCAUCCUCAAAUGCCUCAGAUCCGGAAAACCCGGAUUUUUAUAACCCCCAAAACUGUGCUUUCGCCCC